CGGGGAGGUAGUGACGAAAAAUAACGAUACGGGACUCAUCCGAGGCCCCGUAAUCGGAAUGAGUACACUUUAAAUCCUUUAACGAGGACCAAUUGGAGGGCAAGUCUGGUGCCAGCAGCCGCGGUAAUUCCAGCUCCAAUAGCGUAUAUUAAAGUUGUUGCGGUUAAAAAGCUCGUAGUUGAAUCUGUGUGUCACAGUGUCGGUUCACCGCUCGCGGUGUUUAACUGGCAUUAUGUGGUACGUCCUACCGGUGGGCUUAGCUCCUCGCGGGCGGUCCAACUAAUAUCCCAUCGCGGUGCUCUUCACUGAGUGUCGAGGUGGGCCGGUACGUUUACUUUGAACAAAUUAGAGUGCUCAAAGCAGGCUACCUUUGCCUGAAUAUUCUGUGCAUGGAAUAAUGGAAUAGGACCUCGGUUCUAUUUUGUUGGUUUUCGGAACCCCGAGGUAAUGAUUAAUAGGGACAGAUGGGGGCAUUCGUAUUGCGACGUUAGAGGUGAAAUUCUUGGAUCGUCGCAAGACGGACAGAAGCGAAAGCAUUUGCCAAAAAUGUUUUCAUUAAUCAAGAACGAAAGUUAGAGGUUCGAAGGCGAUCAGAUACCGCCCUAGUUCUAACCAUAAACGAUGCCAGCUAGCGAUCCGCCGAAGUUCCUCCGAUGACUCGGCGGGCAGCUUCCGGGAAACCAAAGCUUUUGGGUUCCGGGGGAAGUAUGGUUGCAAAGCUGAAACUUAAAGGAAUUGACGGAAGGGCACCACCAGGAGUGGAGCCUGCGGCUUAAUUUGACUC
rnacentral:rRNA from 4 species